CGUAGGUGCAAGCGUUGUCCGGAAUUAUUGGGCGUAAGAGCUCGUAGGUGGCCUGUCGCGUCGGCUGUGAAACUCGGGCUCAACUCCGAGCUUGCAGUCGAUACGGGCAGGCUAGAGUGCGGCAGGGGAGACUGGAAUUCCUGGUGUAGCGGUGAAAUGCGCAGAUAUCAGGAGGAACACCGGUGGCGAAGGCGGGUCUCUGGGCCGAUACUGACACUGAGGAGCGAAAGCGUGGGAGCGAACAGGAUU
rnacentral:rRNA from 1 species